AGCUGGUGAGAGAGUCCCGAGACACCCACCUGUCAACUCCCCCCCUCCACACCACCACACUCACCGUCUACCCACCACCACCACCACCUGCUCGCCGCCCCUCCCGCUCCCAGCCCCUGCCUCGCCUCCUCCAGCGCCGCCUCCCGCCUUUAUUCACACCCGUAAACUACCCUGUAUAUCCGGGCUUUUGUUGCUUUCCUCAGAAGCUCGUUUCUACAGGUAUCUUGCGGUUGAGAGACACUUCUUCCAGACCUUCCGCGGGAGUUUUUGGUCCUCCUUUACGUGCAACUUUAAAGGGAAAUGCAGGUUAUUGGGCUUUUUUUCAUAUUUUUGUUUUGUUAGACUUGUCAUACACUUCUGGGUUUUUUUUAAUACUGCAGUUUGUGUAUGUGUCUGCUUCCGGUGUUGAGUGUAGAGUACAGGUUCUUGUAUUACAGAGUAGGUCGUUCUAUCAUAGUCACUCCUGUCUAAUUGUUUUCGUACACGACUGCAGGUGUAGGAUUUUGUAUCACAGUAAGCUUUGUCUCAUGUUUGACUGUUUUCGUACACGUCAUGGUGUUAAUUAUUGUACCAUGCCUUACUGGACUAUACGGGUGUUUUGUGUUGAGUUACCCCUAGAUGUUAGGUUUUUCAUGGCAUGUUUUAUGGUAAGUUUGUAAUGCUGUAUUAUAUAAAUAGUUUUUUCCUCUA